rnacentral:lncRNA from 1 species
ACCAUUAAGACUAGGAUAAUAUAUAUAUAGAUAUUGAUAGGCGAAUAAAUUUUUAUACAUUCUAUCAAACACGGAAAAAAAUCUCAUUCCAAACCAUCUCAGAACAUAAGCGAGCUCAAAACGCUAUAGAGUAGAAAAGAACUAACUUGAACAAACAAGUGCAUUUUCGAAAAAGAAUGCAAUCAUCCAAAUUUCAUUUUUCAAAACUCAGAACAGUUUGUGCAACGUAUAUAUAACCCUUUGAUUAAUUCAAUGGAUCACAAAAUGCAAAAUGCAAAAUCCUUCAUCUACAAAAAUCACUUUUUCUGGCACUUAUCCUUAAUCCAGUUAAACCCAGACGAAGUUCCACUUUUCACCUUCUUUGCACCCACAACUACCGCUGCCUUCGCCUUGUCAGCCCCCACUGCUGCUGCCGAUUUUGCCUUUCCGAAACUCGCCGAUGCAACUGCCAACACCUUUUCCAUCUUCUUCCCGCUACUUUUUCCCUUUUUACCAAAAUCUUCCUCUACGACAUCAUUUUGACUGCCCCAUUGAUCUGCCCAACUGUUUCCUUGACUUCCCAUUCUUCAAAAAAUAUAUAUACAAUCGAAUCUUUAUUAACCAAUAGCAAAAAUGUUAUUCAUUUUGUCUCAAUUUACAUGAUAUCAUUCAAAUUUUGAGAUUCAAACAAUUUAAUGUUGAUUGUGAAAUGGGAUAUGAAUAUUUUAGAUUUUUUGAAAUAAAAUUUAAAUAUUAUAUAUAACAAUAAUUUACAACUAAAAUUCAAGAUAUUUGAAGGACCGUAUAUAAAGAAAAUUACGAUACUACACUAAAUUGACAGGAGUACAAUUUCUGGUCACAAACCACUAUUAAGUUCCAAAUUUUGAGAAACCCAAAGGAGAAAAAAGGUCGUAGAAGAGGAAUCACAUUUUACCAGCGAUUGGUGUUGGGAUUGAUGGGAUUUGCAAGAUUUUAAUGGAUGGAGAUAAGAGGUCUUUUGAGAAGGUGAAAAGAGGACAAAUAAACUUGAAUCUUCAACGACCAAUAGGAAAAAAAACGGUCACAACAAUGGACAAUUUAACAUAUAUUGAUAAAAGUUACUAUCAAAGAUAGAACUAUUUUAAUUUUGAAAUUUGAAAGCCACAAAUUGGAACAGAGGGAGUACAAUUUUGGUAAGAAAACACAAUAAAGUUACAAAUCUUUGAAAACUCAAAAGAGUAAAAAGCAGAAGAUAGGAUCAAAUUUUACCAGAGAUUGAUGUUGGGACUUAUGGGGUUCGCAAGAUUUUAAUGGCUAAAGAACAAAGGAUUUUUGGUGAUGUGUGAAAAUAGGAUAAUAAACUUGAAUAUUCAACAAUCAAUAGAAUGAAAGUUAGAAUCAUUACCAAUCAAAACAAGAAAAAGUCUCCCUCUCUCGGUCAAUUUGAUCGUGAAUUCAGAAAUAGGUCAACAAAAAGUUGUUUGAUUUUGGCAGAUAAAAAAUACUACAAACUUUGGCAGCAAAGCACAAUAAAACUAUAAUCUUUGAAAACCCAAAAGAGUAAAGCGCAGUAGAAGAGAAAUGAAAUUUUUACCAAAGAUUGGUUGUGGGAACAGAUGGAAUUGCUCCAAGAUUUUAAUCUGUGAGAGAGAAAAGGAUUCUUUUGUGUGUGUGAAAUGUGAAAAGAGGAUAGUAAUAAAAGGAAACAAUUGUAAGAAGAAAUUUAAGGCAGGCAAUUGCUUUGCCGUCAUGAUCAGGAAUCUUCUUUUAGUAGGUGU